rnacentral:misc_RNA from 1 species
AAGUCGUAACAAGGUCUCCGUAGGUGAACCUGCGGAGGGAUCAUUAACACGUGAAUAACGUAACUAUAUAACAAACAAUGUGAAUAAAAUGUAAUAUAUAUAGUAAAAUAUAUAUAUUAUCACCUCUACCUAUACAUUACAGACUGUAAUCAAUAUACUAUUGUGAUUGGUUAUUAUAGUAAAAUAUAAUAACAGUAUAUGAUUGCUCGAGUUUAAUCUCACAUGGUUUGUUUUGUUAUAGGCUUUUAUCCCUAUAGCUCAAUCAUACUAGAAAAAACCACUAUCACUCUAAUUUAUAAACAUCUGACUGAAACAUAAACUAAGUGUACUAUAAUCUAAUUAUAAUCACUAAGUUGAUAUCUAUUAAACUAAAAGCACAACUCUUAGCAACGGAUAUCUUGGUUCUC